rnacentral:rRNA from 1 species
GACGACCGCUGGCGGCGUGCCUAAUACAUGCAAGUAGAACGCAGUUGCGAACGGGUGAGUAACGCGUAGGUAACUGCCUCAUAGCGGGGGAUAACUAUUGGCAACGAUAGCUAAUACCGCAUACUGUGAGAUGGACCUGCGUUGUAUUAGCUAGUUGGAGAGGUAAAGGCUCACCAAGGCGCCGAUACAUAUCCGACCUGAGAGGGGUAACGGCCAAACUGGAAAUGGUACACGGCCCAGACUCAGACGGGAGGCAGCCGUAGGGAAUCUUCGGAAAUGGACGGAAGUCUGACCGAGCAACGCCGGGUGAGUGAAGAAGGUUUUCGGAUCGUAAAGCUCUGUUGUUAGAGAAGCGGUAACUAAACAGAAAGGGACGGCUAACUACGUGCCAGCAGCCGAGGUAAUUC